rnacentral:rRNA from 1 species
UACAGAGGGUGCAAGCGUUGUUCGGAAUUAUUGGGCGUAAAGGGCGCGUAGGCGGUGCGGUAAGUCCGCAGUGAAAUCUCUGGGCUCAACUCAGAGUCUGCUGUGGAAACUGCCGUGCUUGAGUGUGGGAGAGGUGAGUGGGAAUUCCCGGUGUAGCGGUGAAAUGCGUAGAUAUCGGGAAGGAACACCUGUGGCGAAAGCGGGCUC